rnacentral:rRNA from 1 species
UCCUACGGGGGGCAGCAGUGAGGAAUAUUGGUCAAUGGGCGGGAGCCUGAACCAGCCAAGUCGCGUGAGGGAAGACGGUCCUAUGGAUUGUAAACCUCUUUAGGCGGGGAGCAAUGCCGGGCACGUGUGCCCGGAGGGAGAGUACCCGCAGAAGAAGCCACGGCUAACUACGUGCCAGCAGCCGCGGUAAUACGUAGGUGGCGAGCGUUAUCCGGAAUGAUUGGGCGUAAAGGGUGCGUAGGCGGCCUGCUAAGUCUG